UAAUUUGUCUGUUACGGAUUAGUUGUAUAUUAAAUACCAGAACCUGCCACAUUCAUUGAUAGAAAAAACCAGUACCACAAUACAACAUCCGAUACAAUACCAGUCUAAAAGAACAUAACCCAAAGCACAAGUUUUAAACGAAACUAGAAAGCAACAAUAUCCAAGUAGAAGAGUAGUACAAUAUACCUGAUAGUACUCUUAACACAAGACCACUUUCUCCUUUGGCCAUGCAAUGCAUGUUCCAAUAGCGUCACCCAAACACUCAAUCUCAGAAGAUGGACGCCAAACCUCUGCCAAAUUAACCUUCACCACAUCAAUCCAGACUUUAACUGCAUUAGGUCCCAAGGGAACAAAGUGUACUGAGUCUUCUGGGUUAUCUGAACCCCACCGUCCUUCUGCAACCACCUGAUUUUUCCCACCAAUGGACAUCAACUUGCACUUCUGAUUCUCUUUGGCAUCAUUUUGACAAAGACGCUACAGUGUUUGUAAGACAAACAGUUUAUGUCAGUGAAU
rnacentral:lncRNA from 1 species